UUUGAUCCUGGCUCAGGACGAACGCUGGCGGCGUGCCUAAUACAUGCAAGUGGAACGCAUGAUUGAUACCGGAGCUUGCUCCACCAUUAAUCAUGAGUCGCGAACGGGUGAGUAACGCGUAGGUAACCUGCCUCAUAGCGGGGGAUAACUAUUGGAAACGAUAGCUAAUACCGCAUAACAGUAUUUAUCGCAUGGUAAAUGCUUGAAAGGAGCAACUGCUUCACUAUGAGAUGGACCUGCGUUGUAUUAGCUAGUUGGUGGGGUAACGGCUCACCAAGGCCUCGAUACAUAGCCGACCUGAGAGGGUGAUCGGCCACACUGGGACUGAGACACGGCCCAGACUCCUACGGGAGGCAGCAGUAGGGAAUCUUCGGCAAUGGGGGGAACCCUGACCGAGCAACGCCGCGUGAGUGAAGAAGGUUUUCGGAUCGUAAAGCUCUGUUGUAAGAGAAGAACGUGUGUGAGAGUGGAAAGUUCACACAGUGACGGUAACUUACCAGAAAGGGACGGCUAACUACGUGCCAGCAGCCGCGGUAAUACGUAGGUCCC
rnacentral:rRNA from 1 species